rnacentral:rRNA from 1 species
UACGGGGGGGGGCAAGCGUUGUUCGGAAUUACUGGGCGUAAAGGGUUCGUAGGUGGCGCACUAAGUCAGACGUGAAAUCCCUCAGCUUAACUGGGGAACUGCGUCUGAGACUGGUGGGCUUGAGUGCAGGAGAGGAACGCGGAAUUCCAGGUGUAGCGGUGAAAUGCGUAGAUAUCUGGAGGAAUACCGGUGGCGAAGGCGGCAUCCUGGACCGACAUUGACGCUGAACGGCGAAGGCUAGGGGAGCAAACGGG